rnacentral:rRNA from 1 species
GCAGUCGAACGGCAGCACGGGUGCUUGCACCUGGUGGCGAGUGGCGAACGGGUGAGUAAUACAUCGGAACAUGUCCUGUAGUGGGGGAUAGCCCGGCGAAAGCCGGAUUAAUACCGCAUACGAUCUACGGAUGAAAGCGGGGGACCUUCGGGCCUCGCGCUAUAGGGUUGGCCGAUGGCUGAUUAGCUAGUUGGUGGGGUAAAGGCCUACCAAGGCGACGAUCAGUAGCUGGUCUGAGAGGACGACCAGCCACACUGGGACUGAGACACGGCCCAGACUCCUACGGGAGGCAGCAGUGGGGAAUUUUGGACAAUGGGCGAAAGCCUGAUCCAGCAAUGCCGCGUGUGUGAAGAAGGCCUUCGGGUUGUAAAGCACUUUUGUCCGGAAAGAAAUCCUUGGCUCUAAUACAGUCGGGGGAUGACGGUACCGGAAGAAUAAGCACCGGCUAACUACGUGCCAGCAGCCGCGGUAAUACGUAGGGUGCGAGCGUUAAUCGGAAUUACUGGGCGUAAAGCGUGCGCAGGCGGUUUGCUAAGACCGAUGUGAAAUCCCCGGGCUCAACCUGGGAACUGCAUUGGUGACUGGCAGGCUAGAGUAUGGCAGAGGGGGGUAGAAUUCCACGUGUAGCAGUGAAAUGCGUAGAGAUGUGGAGGAAUACCGAUGGCGAAGGCAGCCCCCUGGGCCAAUACUGACGCUCAUGCACGAAAGC